AACGAACGUUGGCGGCGUGGAUUAGGCAUGCAAGUCGAACGAGAACCAGCUUUGUAGCAAUACAGAGCUGGGGAUAGUGGCGAAAGGGGCAGUAAUGUGUGGGUAACGUACCCCGGGGAUGGGAACACAGAGGUAACUCUCGUAAAUUCCCAGCGAUUCGGUUAAGAGGCAUCUCUUGGCCGGGAAAUGAAUUUCGCCACGGGAGCGGCUCACAUCGUAUUAGCUUGUUGGCGGGGUGACGGCCCACCAAGGCAAAGAUGCGUAGCGGGUGUGAGAGCACGACCCGCGCCACUGGCACUGAGACACUGGCCAGACACCUACGGGUGGCUGCAGUCGAGGGUCUUCGGCAAUGAGCGCAAGCCUGACCGAGCGACGCCGCGUGUGCGAAGAAGGCCUUCGGGUUGUAAAGCACUGUCGAGGGGGAGGAAAGCCGCAAGGUCUGACCUAUCCCUGGAGGAAGCACGGGCUAAGUUCGUGCCAGCAGCCGCAGUAA
rnacentral:rRNA from 1 species